rnacentral:tmRNA from 1 species
GGCUCUGUUUUUCUACGGCUUUGCCGCUAUAUUGGGGGUGCCGGUUCGCCGGCUAUGGAAAUAAAUGGCCGUCGCAAUAAACCAUUCGGACCCGGGGGCGGUACCCGGCGCCUCCACCAAAACCCAUCCAGCCCGUGCUUCGGUGGCUUUUGGCGGGGGCGAAAUAGGAUCGACGAGGGCGUAAAGGGCGUGUUUUUUCUCGGUAUGGUUCCGCCGUUAUCGGGCUAAUGCAAUAGUUGCCAACGACAACUUUGCUCCGGUUGCUCAGGCUGCGUAACGCAGUUUGAAAGACCAUCUUAAAGUCCUAGCGGGUUAAGCUCCGCUAGGCGGGGUUCGGAGGCACCUGGCAACAGAAGCCUCCACU